rnacentral:siRNA from 1 species
UCUUUAACAACUAAGGUUCCU